AUCUCGACGUGACUUAGGUUCCUGUGGCGCCAAAAUGUCGCUCGUAGCGGGGGUUAUUCGGCGGUUGGACGAGACAGUGGUGAAUCGCAUCGCGGCAGGGGAAGUUAUCCAGCGGCCGGCUAAUGCCAUCAAGGAGAUGAUUGAGAACUGUUUAGAUGCAAAAUCCACCAGUAUCCAAGUGGUUGUUAAAGAGGGAGGCCUCAAGUUAAUUCAGAUCCAAGACAAUGGCACUGGGAUCAGGAAGGAAGAUCUGGACAUUGUGUGUGAGAGGUUCACUACAAGUAAACUGCAAUCCUUUGAGGAUUUAGCUAGUAUUUCUACCUAUGGCUUUCGGGGUGAGGCUUUAGCCAGCAUCAGCCAUGUGGCUCAUGUUACUAUUACAACCAAAACAGCUGAUGCAAAGUGCGCGUACAGAGCAAAUUACUCAGAUGGAAAGCUGAAAGCUCCUCCUAAACCAUGUGCAGGCAAUCAGGGGACCCAGAUCACAGUGGAGGACCUUUUUUACAACAUAUCCACGAGGAGGAAAGCUUUAAAAAAUGCAAGUGAAGAGUAUGGGAAAAUUUUGGAAGUUGUUGGCAGGUAUUCAAUACAUAAUUCAGGCAUUAGUUUCUCAGUUAAAAAACAAGGUGAGACCGUGGCUGACGUUAGGACACUGCCCAAUGCCACAACGGUGGACAAUAUUCGCUCCAUCUUUGGAAAUGCUGUUAGCCGAGAACUGAUAGAAGUUGCGUGUGAGGAUAAAACCCUGGCCUUCAAAAUGAAUGGUUACAUAUCCAAUGCAAAUUACUCGGUGAAGAAGUGCAUCUUCUUACUCUUCAUCAACCAUCGUCUGGUAGAGUCAACUUCUUUAAGAAAAGCCAUUGAAACAGUGUAUGCCGCAUAUUUGCCCAAAAACACACACCCAUUCCUGUACCUCAGUUUAGAGAUCAGCCCCCAGAACGUGGAUGUCAAUGUGCACCCCACAAAGCACGAAGUUCACUUCCUGCAUGAGGACAGCAUCCUGGAGCGGGUGCAGCAGCACAUUGAGAGUAAGCUCCUGGGUUCCAACUCCUCCAGAAUGUACUUCACCCAGACUUUACUACCAGGUCUUGCUGGCCCCUCCGGGGAGGUGGUUAAAUCCACAACAGGUGUGACCCCCUCAUCUGCUUCUGGAAAUGGCGACAAGGUCUAUGCCCACCAGAUGGUCCGCACAGAUUCACGGGAACAGAAGCUCGAUGCCUUUCUGCAACCCAUGAGCAAGGCUCUGUCCAGUCAGGCUCAGGCCAUUGUUCCAGAAGACAGGACCGAUGCUUCCAGUGGCGGGCCUGGACAGCAAGAUGAGGAAAUGCUUGAACUCCCAGAGCCUGCUCAAGCGUCUGCCACAAAUCAGGGCACAGAGGAAGAUGCAACAGAGGGGACUUCAGAAAUGUCAGAGAGGAGAGGGCCCCCUUCCAGCCCGGGCAACCCCAGAAAGAGGCCCCGGGAAAGCUCUGAUGUAGAAAUGGCAGAAGAUGAUUCCCGAAAGGAAAUGACAGCAGCGUGUACCCCUCGGCGGAGGAUCAUCAACCUCACCAGUGUGCUGAGCCUCCAGGAAGAAAUUAACGCACGGGGACAUGAGACACCAUGUCUUGAAAUACAACAACCUAGAUUAGCCUAUAAAGUCCUGAGCAGCCACGGAGCAGCACUCCGAGAAAUGCUGCAGAACCACUCCUUUGUGGGCUGCGUGAAUCCGCAGUGGGCCUUGGCACAGCAUCAGACCAAGUUAUACCUUCUCAACACCACCAAACUGAGUGAAGAACUGUUCUACCAGAUACUCAUUUAUGAUUUUGCCAAUUUUGGUGUUCUCAGGCUCUCGGAGCCCGCACCGCUGUUUGACCUGGCCAUGCUAGCCUUGGAUAGUCCUGAGAGUGGCUGGACGGAGGAAGAUGGUCCCAAAGAAGGACUUGCCGAGUACAUUGUUGAGUUUCUGAAGAAGAAGGCUGAGAUGCUCACAGACUAUUUCUCUUUGGAAAUCGAUGAGGAAGGGAACCUGACUGGAUUACCCCUGCUGAUCGACAACUAUGUGCCUCCUUUGGAGGGUCUGCCUAUCUUCAUUCUUCGACUAGCCACGGAGGUGAACUGGGAUGAAGAGAAGGAAUGUUUUGAAAGCCUCAGUAAAGAAUGUGCUAUGUUUUACUCCAUUCGGAAGCAGUACGUAUCUGAGGAGUCGACCCUCUCGGGCCAGCAGGGGGAAGUGUCCGGCUCCUCUACAAACCCCUGGAAGCGGACUGUGGAACACGUUGUCUAUAAAGCCUUCCGUUCACACCUUCUGCCUCCUAGACAUUUCACAGAAGAUGGAAAUAUCCUACAGCUUGCUAACCUGCCCGAUCUGUACAAAGUCUUCGAGAGGUGCUAACCACACUCACUUGUGGACUCUGGGCUGUGCGUUUCUUGCAUUGUGUCCUGAUGAGGAAGAGAAGAGAACAGUGCAUCACCUGUCAGCAGCUGUGACCUCAGGCAGUGACAACCUCUGCAGCCCAGGAGGGGACAGUACAGUGGAAGGAGACAAAGCGCAAACGCCCACGGGGCGGCCACAGCACCUUUGCAGCCUGGGCUCCAGAACGGCUCUCCUGCCAGAAGCUCUAACACCUGAUCCCAGCAUCCCUUGGACCAAGGAGUUGGAAGAAAAUGUGACUCUCUAUGCUAUAGUGGGGGGAGGCUGAC